rnacentral:rRNA from 1 species
AUACGUAGGGGGCGAGCGUUGUCCGGAAUGAUUGGGCGUAAAGGGCGCGUAGGCGGCCCGGUAAGUCUGGAGUGAAAGUCCUGUUUUUAAGAUGGGAAUUGCUUUGGAUACUGUCGGGCUUGAGUGCAGGAGAGGUAAAUGGAAUUCCCAGUGUAGCGGUGAAAUGCGUAGAGAUUGGGAGGAACACCAGUGGCGAAGGCGAAUUACGAGACUGUAGCUGAAUCUGAGGCGCCAAAGUGUGGGGAGCAAACAGGAUGAGAUACCCUGGUAGUCCACGCUGUAAACGAUGAAUGCUAGGUGUAGGGAGUAUAGCCCCCUUCUGUGCCGCAGGCAACACAAUAAGCAUUCCGGCUGGGGAGUUAGGCCGCAAGGUGGAAACUUAAAGGAAUUUACUGGG